UCCGAAUGCCUGCACUGGGGUACCUACCUCCUUUUCUGAUAGACUGUAUUCCCUUUCCAUGUUUUAGCUGUACCUGUGACACAGGACACGAGAGAACUUGCUCAUGUGAACACAAGUGAAGGACACAGUGGGGACUUGCCACACAAAUCCCAGCACGUGGACUGUGUACAGGGCAUUUCUGCUGAAGCGCUAUGUCUGGUUUUCUGCAUACAGCCCCAUUCCUUCUCCACAAGAGACACCUGUACCAAUACAUGGUGGGGGAAAUGACAAAGAUGAGAUCCUAAGAAACUUGAGGAAUGUGGUAAUGGCAGCAGACACAUUCCCCUUGCAUCACAAUGGUCUGUGGUACCGCCUCUGCACCUUGGCCCAAGACCUAACAGCAACAAAAAUAAGGUGAGUGUGUUUUACAAGUCAACUUCUAGUGCUCAGAUCAUCUUACC